rnacentral:rRNA from 1 species
UACGUAGGGGGCAAGCGUUGUUCGGAAUUACUGGGCGUAAAGGGCGCGUAGGCGGCACGGCAAGUCGGGAGUGAAAGGCCUGGGCUCAACCGAGGAACUGCUUUCGAGACUGCCGAGCUAGAGUGCGGAAGGGGCAACUGGAAUUCCCAGUGUAGCGGUGAAAUGCGUAGAUACUGGGAGGAACACCAGUGGCGAAGGCGGCUACCUGGACCGGUUCUGACGCUGAUGCGCGAAAGCGUGGGUAGCAAACAGG